rnacentral:rRNA from 1 species
AGGCAACCUGCCCUCAAGUUUGGGACAACUACCGGAAACGGUAGCUAAUACCGAAUAGUUGUUUCCUUCGCCUGAAGGAAACUGGAAAGACGGAGCAAUCUGUCACUUGGGGAUGGGCCUGCGGCGCAUUAGCUAGUUGGUGGGGUAACGGCUCACCAAGGCGACGAUGCGUAGCCGACCUGAGAGGGUGAUCGGCCACACUGGGACUGAGACACGGCCCAGACUCCUACGGGAGGCAGCAGUAGGGAAUCUUCCGCAAUGGGCGAAAGCCUGACGGAGCAAUGCCGCGUGAGUGAUGAAGGUUUUCGGAUCGUAAAGCUCUGUUGCCAGGGAAGAACGCUUGGGAGAGUAACUGCUCUCAAGGUGGCGGUACCUGAGAAGAAAGCCCCGGCUAACUACGUGCCAGCAGCCGCGGUAAUACGUAGGGGGCAAGCGUUGUCCGGAAUUAUUGGGCGUAAAGCGCGCGCAGGCGGUCAUUUAAGUCUGGUGUUUAAUCCCGGGGCUCAACCCCGGAUCGCACUGGAAACUGGGUGACUUGAGUGCAGAAGAGGAGAGUGGAAUUCCACGU